rnacentral:rRNA from 1 species
UACGUAGGGUGCAAGCGUUAAUCGGAAUUACUGGGCGUAAAGCGUGCGCAGGCGGUGAUGUAAGACAGAUGUGAAAUCCCCGGGCUCAACCUGGGAACUGCAUUUGGGACUGCAAGGCUUGAGUUUGGCAGAGGAGACUGGAAUUCCUGGUGUAGCAGUGAAAUGCGUAGAUAUCAGGAGGAAUACCGAUGGCGAAGGCAGGUCUCUGGGCUAGAACUGACGCUCAUGCACGAAAGCGUGGGGAGCAAACAGG